UUAGGAGGAAAUUAGUAAGGAAGUUCAAAAUGUCGACCAUUUUUUCCUAACUGUAUACAAUCAUUCUCAUUCUUUAGUAUAAAGAAAAUAUUCCUGGAAUCAGUAUGAAAAGUGUCGAAGGAAAGGUGAUGGGAUUAAUAGAAAGACAGGCAGACAUCUAAUCCACAUUAAGCCAAUUAAAAUACAAACUAAGGCUGUAUUGAAGUGUAUGACGACAUAAGUGUGACAAAAAAAGACCACGGCGGCGACCGGUAGUAAUAGUAACGGUACAUAUGAACAGCGCAAAAGCAAAAGAAAGUUGUAAUAGUUGUAAACUGAAUCGUUGCAUGUGCCUUAUGUUGGCCGGGUCAGCUGGAUGCACAAACUCUCUUUUCUCAAAUGGUAAAUAAAAGGAAAAACUGGAUGAGAAAACCGAAAACUGUAUGAGACAACUGCAAAAUGGAAAAGGCAAUGCAAUGAAUUUUGUCAAGGUGAAAGGAGGUAGGUGGGAUCCAAUGGGCACCACAUCACAUCACAUAGAUUAAAAUACACAUUUUUUGGCUACUUUUGGCAAAAAACAACAAUAACUAACAUCAAUGGAAAAAAAGACACAAAUCUCACCAUUAUAAAUAUGAAUAGAACUCAAUUUAUGCAAAUCAUAAAAGAAAUCAAUUCAGUAAGUUGUGUCUUGCAUAUUUUUCUUCCAAAAAAAAACCAAACCCAUACACACAUAUAUAUUGCUGAAUAAUUAAGAUUUUCCUCGAGAGCAAAAAUCCCACAUUAAUUAUUAUUUACUUAAUACAAGUUAUUUAUUUUUCAUAUGCGCCUGCUGGUUGCCUUUAUGUGUAUUAUACAUACACACAUACGUAUAUAAAUAAUAAACAGCAGACCGUAUUAUUUACUUACCUUUUUGGG